rnacentral:lncRNA from 1 species
AUAGCUUCAAUUAGUAGGUAUAGCUGCUGAGUUCCGGCAACUCGCGGCCCCAGCCCCGCGCCGCGCUCACUGCGGCAGGGCACUUCGAGGAACACGUGCGGCGGUACCUGUGCAGGUCGCACCGAAAGGAACUUUUAGUGAAUAGCUGGUGAGCGCGCACCUCGACCGUCCGCUUUGUGUGCAAGUACAAUAGGCUGAGCGGUGUAAGCACGUGGACCAGACAAAGACGAGCAGGUAGCGCGGCCGAGUGCGCUACCAUUAUGACGAGCAGGUAGCGCGGCCGAGUGCGCCACCAUUAUGACGAGCAGGUAGCGCGGCCGAGUGCGCCACCAUUAUGACGAGCAGGUAGCGCGGCCGAGUGCGCCACCAUUAUGACGAGCAGGUAGCGCGGCCGAGUGCGCCACCAUUAUGACGAGCAGGUAGCGCGGCCGAGUGCGCCACCAUUAUGACGAGCAGGUAGCGCGGCCGAGUGCGCCACCAUUAUGACGAGCAGGUAGCGCGGCCGAGUGCGCCACCACGCGCAACUUCGUCUUAGUGUCGCACGUCUGGCGACAGGUACUCGCUUCAC